CUUGGUAGUAAGAGGGGAAUAUUGGCAAGAAGAAGACUGUCCUUUGGUGGGAGAAGACAUAUUUUAACAUGGCAUUAUGGGAAGGAGGCUGCCGUUCCAUGUGGCAGCCAUCUUAAGGUGCAGAGCAAUAGGGGAAGGAGGAGGCUGCUAUUUGAUGUAGCAGUCAUUUUAAGGCUCGAGAGACUGGCUCUCUGAAGACAGCAUUAAUACAGAAACAUAUAUGGAUACUCUGAACAGUCUCAACUGACCCCAGUCUUCUGAUCAUUUCCAGGCACCAAAUAUUACUAAAUCCAUCUUCAGCCCUACAGAUCUGUCUGCCAGGUAAGUACCACAGAUGACCUGAACCAUCCUCAUAGGAAGCAGAAAAACU
rnacentral:lncRNA from 1 species